CGGGGUGUAGCGUAAUGGUUAACGCGCCUCGUUCGGGACGAGGAGACUCCCGGUUCGAGUCCGGGCACCCCGACUA
rnacentral:tRNA from 1 species